UACAGAGGAGGCAAGCGUUGUUCGGAAUUACUGGGCGUAAAGCGCACGUAGGCGGAAUGUUAAGUCAGGGGUGAAAUCCCGGGGCUCAACCCCGGAACUGCCUUUGAUACUGGCAUUCUCGAGUCCGGAAGAGGUGAGUGGAAUUCCGAGUGUAGAGGUGAAAUUCGUAGAUAUUCGGAAGAACACCAGUGGCGAAGGCGACUUACUGGACACAUAUUGACGCUGAGGUGCGAAAGCGUGGGGAGCAAACAGG
rnacentral:rRNA from 1 species